UGGCUCUCGCAUCGAUGAAGAACGCAGCGAAAUGCGAUAAGUAAUGUGAAUUGCAGAAUUCAGUGAAUCAUCGAAUCUUUGAACGCACCUUGCACUCCUUGGCAUUCCGAGGAGUAUGCCUGUUUGAGUCUCAUGGAAUUCUCAACCCCUAAAUUUUUGUAAUGAAAGUUUAGUGGGCUUGGACUUGGAGGUUGUGUCGGCUGUCUCAGUCGACUCCUCUGAAAAGCAUUAGCGUGAAUCUUACGGAUCGCCUUCAGUGUGAUAAUUAUCUGCGCUGUGGUGUUGAAGUAUUUAUUAGUUCAUGCUUAUAAUCGUCUCUGACUGGAGACAAUUAUUUGACAAUCUGAGCUCAAAUCAGGUAGGACUACCCGCUGA
rnacentral:misc_RNA from 1 species